rnacentral:lncRNA from 1 species
CCUUUGUGUCUCGCGCGGAGCCAGCGCCGCGCCCACCGUACCUUCGAUGCAGCACACCCGCCACAGACCAGAGUGGGUGAGGUCGCCGCGGGCGCGGCGGGGCGGGGGCCCGUCGUCCAUGGUCAGGUUGGUGCCGUUGCAGAUGUGCGCGCUGGAGUACAGCCAGUAGUCGGUGCCGAUGGCGAUGGCCAUGAGCGAGAAGGCGGCGAAGGCUCCGGCCGUGGUCAGCAGCAUCUGCAGCCCGCGGUCGCAUCGCACCAUG